GACAGAGGGUGCAAACGUUGUUCGGAAUUACUGGGCGUAAAGCGUGUGUAGGCUGCCCUAUAAGUCGGAUGUGAAAGCCCCAGGCUCAACCUGGGAAGUGCACUCGAUACUGUAGGGCUUGAGUAUCGGAGAGGUUGGUGGAAUUCUCGGUGUAGAGGUGAAAUUCGUAGAUAUCUGGAGGAACACCGGUGGCGAAGGCGGCAUCCUGGACCAACACUGACGCUGAUGAGCGAAAGCCAGGGGAGCAAACGGG
rnacentral:rRNA from 1 species